CARGGCCUACCAAAGCAAGGUUUCUCUCAACUGUGGGGUGUUUGUUUUGAUGAAGAAACGUAAAAACAAAAUGCACAGCGAACUUGGAGCUGUGAACUGGGAAGCAGAUGUUCUUCUAAGGGGCACCCUAGAGGCAGCAAGGUGGUGCGAACGCCAAAACAUUUAAAGGCACUGUUUCCCUCCCUAGUGUAAUUGAGAUGGACGGGGAAGACCGCAUUACAACCCUUAAAGAACUACGGUUGUACAAUGGCCUGGAUGAGGAGGAAAAUAUUCUCCUCAAGGAACCAUGUUCUCGUUCCAGUUCCAGAGAGAUUAUGAGAUGUUCUAUGUGGAGGCAGUUGACAAGAAAAUGACUGUCUUUGCCUCUUUUAAGGAGCAGGAGUGAAGCCAUUUUUGUCUGCUGUGUAAAUUGUUCCAAUUGUUAAUUGUGUUAGAUCUCUUUACUAGAGCUGGUAUAACUUAAUGUACAAAGCACGUUCAGCUUGUCAGUAUGUCUAUAUGGUAUAGUCUGUCUCCAUUCUCAUGAGGAAAGUAAAUGGCUUUAUAAAUCAGGAUAGAUAGUAACUGUAUAUCUAGUGGCUUGCGAAGGUAUUCAUCCCCCUUGGCAUUUUUCCUAUUUUGUUGCCUUACA